rnacentral:tmRNA from 1 species
GGUGGUGCAGGUAAAUCGGAGAUAGGGUAGGCGGCGCUUCGACGCUUGUCCGAAAUUUAAGAAGCUAAGGUUUGAGUGGGUGGCUUCAGUCUUGCUCAUUCCCGACAAUUAAAAUGGAGAUAAGCAUGUAGAAAGCAAAUUAUUUCCUCGUUUGGACGAGGGUUCAAGUCCCUCCAGCUCCACUG